UGUGAUGAACAGCAACGCUGAGGGUAGUCUUCUCUGUUCUCUUUCUCUCUUCUGAUUUUCUGAAAGUGAGAUCUCAAAUCUGAAUCCCUAAUGCGAUAAUGCCUUCGCCCUUCCCAUUUCACAGUUCAGCUUCACCAAUCACCAUUCUCAUCGUUCAUCAAGGUUCAGACUUCAGAGAGAAGGAGAGAACGCCAUCACCCAUCACGAUCUCACCGGCGCACACGGCCACACGGCAGUGAGCUCCGUCACGCAGUGAGCUCCGUCACCACUCGAGUCGGCGUCGUUGUAUGUCUCCCACUCUCCCACUCUCCGUCACCAUUCGACUCGGCGUUGAAGUCUGAAGGUUCCUUUCGAGCUUUGAGAGAAAGCCUUCGAGUUCUAGAGCAAGGAAAUCAUGAAGAUGAUGCUAUUGUUUGAGGUCUUGGGAGUGCUGUUGAUGAUGGUAGUAUAUUUUUCUUAUGCAGAAGACAGUGAUUCAAGCCACUAUCAUUUCUAAUGUUUUUUACUUCAUUCCUUAACUGCAAAAUUUGGUUUCUGAUACUUUUUAAUGCUAAAUUUGAUUGAUUCUGUGGAUAUUUAGACACCCUUUUAUUUAUGAUUCAUGGAAUUGAGAAUUGGAUUGUUUGAUACUGCUCUAUCUAUAUACUUAUUUUGUCUU